rnacentral:rRNA from 1 species
UACGGGAGGCAGCAGUGGGGAAUUUUGGACAAUGGGCGAAAGCCUGAUCCAGCCAUGCCGCGUGAGUGAAGAAGGCCUUCGGGUUGUAAAGCUCUUUCGGCCGGGAAGAAAUCGCACAGGCUAAUACCCUGUGUGGAUGACGGUACCGGAAUAAGAAGCACCGGCUAACUACGUGCCAGCAGCCGCGGUAAUACGUAGGGUGCGAGCGUUAAUCGGAAUUACUGGGCGUAAAGCGUGCGCAGGCGGUUUUUUAAGACAGGCGUGAAAUCCCCGGGCUUAACCUGGGAACUGCGCUUGUGACUGGAAGGCUAGAGUACGGCAGAGGGGGGUGGAAUUCCACGUGUAGCAGUGAAAUGCGUAGAGAUGUGGAGGAACACCGAUGGCGAAGGCAGCCCCCUGGGCCGAUACUGACGCUCAUGCACGAAAGCGUGGGGAGCAAACAGGAUUAGAUACCCUGGUAGUCCACGCCCUAAACGAUGUCAACUAGGUGUUGGGUGGGUAAAACCAUUUAGUACCGGAGCUAACGCGUGAAGUUGACCGCCUGGGGAGUACGGCCGCAAGGUUAAAACUCAAAGGAAUUGACGGA